AAGCGGCAACAGCUCAAAUUUGAAAUCUGCGCAAGCCCGAGUUGUAAUUUGUAGAGGAUGCUUCUGGGCAGCGGCUGGUCUAAGUUCCUUGGAACAGGACGUCAUAGAGGGUGAGAAUCCCGUAUGCGACCAGCUGGCACCCGUCACGUAGCUCCUUCGACGAGUCGAGUUGUUUGGGAAUGCAGCUCUAAAUGGGAGGUAAAUUUCUCUAAAGCUAAAUACCGGCCAGAGACCGAUAGCGCACAAGUAGAGUGAUCGAAAGAUGAAAAGCACUUUGGAAAGAGAGUUAAAAAGCACGUGAAAUUGUUGAAAGGGAAGCGCAUGCAACCAGACUUGUCGGUGGUGUUCCGCCGGUCUUCUGACCGGUCUACUCGCCGCCGACAGGCCAGCAUCGUUUGGGAUCGCCGGAUAAAGGCCCUGGAAAUGUAGCUCCUCGGAGUGUUAUAGUCCUAGGCACAAUACGGCGCAUCCCGAGCGAGGUCCG
rnacentral:rRNA from 1 species